UCCCAUGUGGCUCAGAUGGUAAAGAAUCUGCCUGCAAUGCAGGAGACCUAGGUUCAAUUCCUGGGUCAGGAA
rnacentral:tRNA from 1 species